rnacentral:rRNA from 1 species
CCGUUAUAACCGGCGAUACCCGAAUGGGGAAACCCAGUGUGACUCGUCACACUAUCAUUAACUGAAUCCAUAGGUUAAUGAGGCGAACCGGGGGAACUGAAACAUCUAAGUACCCCGAGGAAAAGAAAUCAACCGAGAUUCCCCCAGUAGCGGCGAGCGAACGGGGAGGAGCCCAGAGCCUGAAUCAGCAUGUGUGUUAGUGGAAGCGUCUGGAAAGGCGCGCGAUACAGGGUGACAGCCCCGUACACAAAAGCGCAUGUGCUGUGAGCUCGAUGAGUAGGGCGGGACACGUGGUAUCCUGUCUGAAUAUGGGGGGACCAUCCUCCAAGGCUAAAUACUCCUGACUGACCGAUAGUGAACCAGUACCGUGAGGGAAAGGCGAAAAGAACCCCGGCGAGGGGAGUGAAAAAGAACCUGAAACCGUGU